CAGCAGCAGCCGCGGUAACACCGAGGGUGCGAGCGUUAAUCGGAUUUACUGGGCGUAAAGCGUGCGUAGGCGGCUUCUUAAGUCGGAUGUGAAAUCCCUGAGCUUAACUUAGGAAUUGCAUUCGAUACUGGGAAGCUAGAGUAUGGGAGAGGAUGGUAGAAUUCCAGGUGUAGCGGUGAAAUGCGUAGAGAUCUGGAGGAAUACCGAUGGCGAAGGCAGCCAUCUGGCCUAAUACUGACGCUGAGGUACGAAAGCAUGGGGAGCAAACAGGAUUAGAUACCCCCGUAGUCCCUGUCUCUUAUAA
rnacentral:rRNA from 1 species